rnacentral:rRNA from 1 species
UACGUAUGGGGCGAGCGUUAUUCGGAUUUAUUGGGCGUAAAGCGUAAGCAGGUGGUUUGUUUAGUUGAGUGUGAAAUUUUCAGGCUUAACCUGAAGCUUGCAUUCAAUACUGGCAAACUUGAGUUCGGAAGAGGAGAAUGGAAUUCCAGGUGUAGGGGUGAAAUCUGUAGAUAUCUGGAAGAACACCAGUGGCGAAGGCGAUUCUCUGGUCCGAAACUGACACUAAGUUACGAAAGCCAGGGGAG